CGGAUGUGAAAUCCCCGGGCUCAACCUGGGAACUGCAUUCGAAACUGGCAGGCUUGAGUCUUGUAGAGGGGGGUAGAAUUCCAGGUGUAGCGGUGAAAUGCGUAGAGAUCUGGAGGAAUACCGGUGGCGAAGGCGGCCCCCUGGACAAAGACUGACGCUCAGGUGCGAAAGCGUGGGGAGCAAACAGGAUUAGAUACCCUGGUAGUCCACGCCGUAAACGAUGUCUACUUGGAGGUUGUGCCCUUGAGGCGUGGCUUCCGGAGCUAACGCGUUAAGUAGACCGCCUGGGGAGUACGGCCGCAAGGUUAAAACUCAAAUGAAUUGACGGGGGCCCGCACAAGCGGUGGAGCAUGUGGUUUAAUUCGAUGCAACGCGAAGAACCUUACCUGGUCUUGACAUCCACAGAACUUUCCAGAGAUGGAUUGGUGCCUUCGGGAACUGUGAGACAGGUGCUGCAUGGCUGUCGUCAGCUCGUGUUGUGAAAUGUUGGGUUAAGUCCCGCAACGAGCGCAAC
rnacentral:rRNA from 1 species